rfam:Musa acuminata subsp. malaccensis Doubled-haploid Pahang (DH-Pahang) genomic chromosome, chr4
GUGAGAGUGUGAUGUUGGAAUGGCUCAAUCAGAUUUGAACAGGUGUGUUUAUAAUCUGAUUGAGCCGUGCCAAUAUCACUCUUUACCUA